UCUGUAUUCAUUCCUGUCGUAUCAUUUGUAGUUUAUAGCGAACACAACUAAACAUUUUUUUCGCACUCGUUGAGCGUCGGAUACAAUCCAUACGCAGUGCUCGAGCAGCACGUGGAGUCAAUCCCGCCGCUCUGGUUCGUGGCCGAGCCGAAAACCGAGCGCGUAGACGCGUUACUUCGUUCGUGCUCAGUCAGCAGAAGGAGCUAAGAAGGCCAAUAGCUAAAGGUUCCAAGUUGCAGUUUCUCCACUAGAUUUGUGAGCAAUCAAAGACAAAGUGUGCGACAGAAGACCUGCCGAAGUUGUAUGCUCAGAACGUGUCAGCUGAGCUGCUGUAGAUGCCAUCCGAUCAGCUGACGCCAUUGCCUUUGGGCAGCGUGUCCUCAAUGGUUUCCGCAAGUCGCGCAAGUCGUGUCAAUGUGCUGAAUGGGCUGCUGGCCAGGCGAUGGAUGCCUUUCUGUCUUUCCCAAAGACCUCGUGUCAGGCAGCCAUAUUUCUGAAGGUGAGCCAUCCAUGAGCGCGGGAGAUCCAGUGCACCCAACCCAAGGAUGUCCUGAUGCAGGCGGAUAUGCUUCACCGUGGCCAGAGUUUUAUGUUCCUGUGGCUGCACUUUGUAGUGUAAUAUUGAGUCUGCCGAUCCCACAUCUCAUAUACUGUCUAGGCAUUGAACAGAUCAUCAUCCCAAUGCCACUUUCGGAACAACGUCACGGCGUUCUAGAUUCGGUGCCGUAGUUGUAAAGAUUCAGGAACAGCUUGGCCCACUAGUGGCCUUUGCCACAGUCCGGAAGGCGUGCGUCGCCUGACAACCGGCUAAGCCUUUCGCCUUGACUUCUGCAUUGAUAACCGACUGGCAGAGCCCCUAGAGAAAACUCUGCACAAAGACUAUGGGCGUCAGCAUAUUCGAUGACAUCUUCUGCAGCUUAGGUGUUCACCUUCCUUCUUUGGAGUCACACACAUGUAGCGGCGAACUGGAAACUGGAACACAGCAUAGAGGUGUGCCAGUGAUUGUGAUCUUUUGCCACUGAUUGAGGGUGCCGCAGCUCUCCACUUCUACGAGUAUACGGUCAGUGUCCAGCUCGGCAAACGAUUCACAGCAGCUAACAGACUGCUUCAGGCCAAGGGUGUAUCUCGUAUGGACUGCACCCGAGGCACCCAAGCACCGAGAGAUACAGACAGAA